rnacentral:rRNA from 1 species
UCGCAAUGCCCGAAAGGGUGACGAAGCGACGCCGCGUGCGGGAAGAAGGCCUCGGGUUGUAAACCGCUGUCGGGAGUUAAGAAAUGUAAGGAUGUUAAUAGCAUCUUUGCUUGACUAAGGCUCCGGAGGAAGCCACGGCUAACUCUGUGCCAGCAGCCGCGGUAAUACAGAGGCGGCAAGCGUUGUUCGGAAUUAUUGGGCGUAAAGAGCACGUAGGCGGCUAUGUAAGUCGGUUGUGAAAGCCUUCCGCUCAACGGGAGAACAGCAUCCGAUACUGCAUGGCUUGAGUGCGGGAGGGGAGAGUGGAACUUCUGGUGGAGCGGUGAAAUGCGUAGAUAUCAGAAGGAACGCCGGCGGCGAAAGCGGCUCUCUGGCCCAUAACUGACGCUGAGUGUGCGAAAGCUAGGGGAGCAAACGGGAUUAGAUACCCCGGUAGUCCUAGCCGUAAACGAUGGGCACUAAGUAGAGGGGUUU